rnacentral:rRNA from 1 species
CCCUUAGAUGUUCUGGGCCGCACGCGUGCUACACUGAGUGGAUCAGCGGGUCAGGUUGCGCGAAAGCGUUUCCUAAUCUUUAAAUACGCUCGUGAUGGGGAUUGACGGUUGCAAUUUUCUGUCAUGAACGAGGAAUACCUUGUAAGCGCGGGUCAUCAUCCCGCGCUGAAUACGUCCCUGCCCUUUGUACACACCGCCCGUCGCUCCUACCGAUUGAGUGGUCCGGUGAGGCUUUGGGAUCUGAGCGGAAAGAGCGUUUCGCUGUUUCUGCUCGGAAAACUCAGUCGAACCUUAUCAUUUAGAGGAAGGAGAAGUCGUAACA